rnacentral:rRNA from 1 species
CCCUUAGAUGUUCUGGGCUGCACGCGCGCUACACUGAUGCACUCAACGAGUUUACGACCUUGCCCGAUAGGGUUGGGUAAUCUUUUUAAAAUGCAUCGUGAUGGGGAUAGAUUAUUGCAAUUAUUAAUCUUCAACGAGGAAUUCCUAGUAAGCGCGAGUCAUCAGCUCGUGCUGAUUACGUCCCUGCCCUUUGUACACAUCGCCCGUCGCUCCUACCGAUUGAGUGCUCAGGUGAAUAAUUCGGACUGCAGCAAUGUUUGGAUCCCGAACGUUGCAGCGGAAAGUUUAGUGAACCUUAUCACUUAGAGGAAGGAGAAGUCGUAACA